CCCCUCGGUGAAGGCAACGCGUCGACAUGCGAAAAGCUUUUCGUUUGUGAACCGUCAACAACGGGAGCUUUCGCAGAUUCUGACGCAGACUGCGUUGUUUUGUUCGUUCGUCGUCGUGCAACACGAGAGAAACGUCAGACAGUCCUGGCGAUCCGAAACACCACAUGAAAUUCUUCCACUCGUCGUCGUAAAUACCUACAUCUACAUCGGUCUUCAGCGCAUAAUCAAAGUUUUUAUCGCGGAUUUUUUUUGGAUUCCGUCGCUGGCGUAGUGAAUAAUCGGUUGUCCGCGGAUUGCGUCGCGUAGAAGUGUGGACCCUGUAAAACGUACAUGUGUUUCCCGCAUUCAGAUUUAAUCUGAUUGCUUCUGUAGAGCGGAGGUAGACAACACAGAGCGCAGGCAGAGCAGAGCAGAGCGGAGCAGCAGUUCGUUCAGCAACCAACCAUAAUCAACAAGACAAGAAGUGAGUGCAAAAAUCUCGGUAGUUUCUUGCGGAAUUCUUCGGGGAUCUAAACAGAUCGGAAUCCGGACAUUGUUGGUGCGUGAAGACGAAGAACUUGAGCGUUUAGAGCGUUUUGUGACUCCUUGUGUGUAUCGGUGCUUUGUGGAACCUGGUGACAGCAGCGGGUCGGGUCAGCUUUUGCAUAAUAUUUUUGCGAAGAACAACAGUGUGUGUCAAACGCAGGCGGUGAGGCAAGAGAAAGAAAAAAAACUUUCAGUUCGGUGCUCUCGCGAACAAGAUAGUGACGGAAGACGGUCCCCGGUGUAGGAAAGGAGUAGGCACUUUGUGUUGUGACACAGACGACUGUAUCGAAGGAAGUGCCAAGCAUAGUAGUGUAUCAGUGGAUCCGUGAAGAAGUCUCCAGCUUCAGCUCCAGGUUCAGAAAACACGUCCCACACGACGUUCUGGAUGGUGUUCGGGAGGAUGACGUCCAGGUUGGCAGGAGGUCGU